rnacentral:misc_RNA from 1 species
GAAAUUCUGAUCUGGGAUUGCUGUUUUACGACUAAAUUUGAUCUGUAGUGAAGGAUAACUUUUCGAGUUAAUACAAAAAGGGAGAUUUUUCUUAUCAUUGCUCACAAAAUUCUAUAUUUUUCGAUUAUGGAAAACCCAGUUUUCAGAAUUUUAAUUUAAAUUCCCCAACAAGUUAGGAAAAACAGGGUAGAAAAAUGAAAUCCUUUUGGCAUUGAACUUGUGCAAAAGUUACUUUAGAA